rnacentral:rRNA from 1 species
GAUGAACGCUGGCGGCGUGCUUAACACAUGCAAGUCGAACGAUUAAAGCCCGCUUCGGUGGGUGUAUAGAGUGGCGAACGGGUGAGUAACACGUGGGCAAUCUGCCCCUCACUUCGGGAUAACUCAGGGAAACCUGAGCUAAUACCGGAUACUCCGGGAUGGUCGCAUGGCCAACUCGGGAAAGUUCCGGCGGUGAGGGAUGAGCCCGCGGCCCAUUAGCUUGUUGGUGAGGUAAUGGCUCACCAAGGCGACGAUGGGUAGCCGAGCUGAGAGGCUGAUCGGCCACACUGGGACUGAGACACGGCCCAGACUCCUACGGGAGGCAGCAGUGGGGAAUCUUGCGCAAUGGGCGAAAGCCUGACGCAGCAACGCCGCGUGCGGGAUGAAGGCCUUCGGGUUGUAAACCGCUUUCAGCAGGGACGAAAACAGACUGUACCUGCAGAAGAAGCCCCGGCUAACUACGUGCCAGCAGCCGCGGUAAUACGUAGGGGGCAAGCGUUAUCCGGAUUCAUUGGGCGUAAAGCGCGCGUAGGCGGCUUGUUAAGCGAGAUGUGAAAACCGGGGGCUCAACCCGCGGCCUGCAUCUCGAACUGGCAGGCUUGAGUCUGGUAGAGGAAAGUGGAAUUCCCAGUGUAGCGGUGAAAUGCGCAGAUAUUGGGAGGAACACCAGUGGCGAAGGCGGCUUUCUGGGCCACGACUGACGCUGAGGCGCGAAAGCUAGGGGAGCGAACAGGAUUAGAUACCCUGGUAGUCCUAGCCGUAAACGAUGGGCACUAGGUGUGGGGGGUUAUCAACUCCCUCCGUGCCGCAGCUAACGCAUUAAGUGCCCCGCCUGGGGAGUACGGCCGCAAGGCUAA